UUAAAUGGGUGGGCGGGGGAGGCUUCCCUACCUGCUGCAGACAGGGGCUGCUCCAGUCCACCGGUUAACCGUCACCAGUAAGUGUCACUCAGUAAGGGUGAUGUUUACCGGUUAAUCAUUCACAUCCCUACUGGAAAUUGGGGGUGGAAUUGAUGCAUUUGUGUUCCUAGCAUGCUUGCACUUUGUAUUACUCUCCAUGAUUGAAUGGAGGCCAGUGGAAACAGCAUUACAGGUUUGUAGCUAAGGCCCAGGGCCUCAGAUGUAUAUAGACAUCUAACUUACUCAAGUGCAUAAUGCCCAUUGAAAUAGAUCCCUCUUCUCAAAACUACAUCUGUCAGAUUUGCAAAACUCUUUAAACUUGGAAUGGGAUGUUCACCUGUUUUGUGGGCGGAGAAUUUAGAGCAAACCUUCACUUGGUAUGAAUCAGUUUUCUUCCAGUGAAGUUAACACUGAUUGACUCCAGCUGAGGAUCUGUUCAUUUAUGUCAUAUAAAAGAAAUGGUGAUGCUUGUAGGUGAAUGGGAACGUUAUUUCAGUGAAAGUUCUUUGGACAUGCUUAGUAUGGCUAAGUAAUCCCAAGGAGAUGAAGAUCCUUGGGGCAUGUUUCUUUCAGAUAUUCACAGAUAUAAGUUGACUACCUAAGAGUAAUUCCUAUUAUAAGUAUAUUGUCAAAUUAGAGCUGGUAGUUGAAGGACCAGAUGUUCUUCACUCACUCCCACCCCUCAAGAGAAUUAACAUGUGAAUUCCUUUUGUUUUUAAAUUGGGUGCUACUGUUGCAUUGUAGUAGUCUUAAAGUUAGUAUAAUCUCAAGCUCCUGAGAAGAUCACGCUAAUUAAUGAAUGUUCUGCUUCUUAAUACUAUCUAACAGAUCCCCUGGUGGAGAUGUGUGUGGGCAAAGGUAGAAACCAUUUCAGUAAGGAAAAGGGGGCAACAAGGUGGCAAUGAAGACAGAAUGGCAAAACUGACUUUUGGAAUGAAAGUUAUCAGUCCAUGAAAGGACCUUCCCUCUUAUCUCAUGACAACUUAAAAAGUGUAUUCUAAUUGUGCCACUGGUUUUUCAUUGGAAAUCAGACCUUUUGGAUUUCAAGUGAUUUCAACAUGAAUGCAAUUAUUACUGAUUUUUUCAAGAAACGGGAGGAAGACAUGGAUGGAGAUUUGGUGUAUCAGAGGGUAUUUCAGAAUAUAGUUAAGCAAAGUAUAGAUGACUAAAUAAUUGACAUGCAAGGUAAAAGUAAUUAAACUCCCAGUAUGAGUGGGUGCUCUUAGUGUCAUCAAUAAUUUUCUGCCUGCAAAAAGUAAUUACACGCUCACUCUGGCUUAAUAUUGUCACCCAUUUUCAUAGCUUCUAAGUCUAGAAGGGACAUUAUGAUGAUCCAGCCUCAUGUGCAGCAUAAAACAGCCAGUGGCUUCUGAAUCAAGCUUAGAAUUUCUGGGAACUUUUAUAGCAAUGGAAAAAAACAAUCUUUUACUGUGUCAUCCUCUGAAGCCAACAUACUGAUGGUCUCAAUAGUCAUGAAAAUUAACUGUGUUCAUAAAACUACUUGCUUGGUUGGGAGAUAAUUUGAUAGCACUCCAUUGCAUGAACAGCAAAGUCGGUGGCUGAAGAACAAAAGUGUGUGUAUGUUUGCGAAGAAGAGGGCUUUAACUACUCUGCAUAUAGCUAUUAUGUGUUUUCACUGUUAGGUGGUUCAUGGAUGGGAUUUUUCAGACUGAUUAAGGGUGCAGUUGUGCUGCUGAUCACAAGGUGGUGCUAUAGUAAUAGGAUCAUAAAGUGCACUAGUUUUAUUUUUUUUGUAGCACUUUAUAGACUAACAAAACAUAUAGAUGGUAUCAUGAGCUUUCGUGGGCACAGCCCGCUUCUUUAGAUGACUGGAGUUUUUUGUGUUUUUUUUAAUUUUUCUGUUCUAAUUUCAGCAAAUUCUCCCAAGUGAUUUGCUGUGAGGUUAUUUUUUCCUCAUUGAAGACAGUGACACGAAAAGUUAAAAUCAGAGUUUCUUAAACUAUUAAUUCCUGCAUGGAGCAAUAGAAAAAUUAAUAGGCUCCCUCUGAUGCCAGACUUCUGGGUAGGAUAGGAUAAGAUAGGGGGAAGAGCUUUCCACACCAAGACAUACUGUGACUGCCCCAAAAACACAUGGCACAUUUUGGAAGUAUAUUUUAAACACAGGGACAGCGCAACCUGUUUAAUUGUUCUUUAUGGGUCAUGACUCAUUUGCACCCAGGAAUUUGCAAAAAGCUGAGAAUCAUCUGUUGAAUAUUCAGUGAUGUCUACUCUGCCUCAAUAUACGAUUCUGCUUCUAAAUCGGUGAGAAAUAAAUCCCUUUUUUCUGCCUGUCUUUUUCCUGGACUCGCCUCCCAAGAAAGUAGAUUGAGCAGCACUAUAUUAGAGAGGAGACAGUACAGAUGGCCCACAUCUAAAAAUCAGAACUGCAUAUUCCUGUAUAUCCAAGCAGCUCAGUUCACCAGUGUGUAUGGAGGCAGAGGUGUGGCCUCCACCUGUUCCUCUCCCCUCUCUGACUGUUAUGCUUUCCAAAAGCCCCACUUCCAGAGGGUAUUCCUAUGCAAGAAAGAUUUUAAGCACAUACUUAAAUCCCAUGGAAAUCAAGUGCUUUUUAGAAUAGGCAGAGACAGAAGUCAGGUGCUUAAAUAUCUUCCAGAGGCAGUGCCAAAGGGAGGCACCAGCUAGAAAAUAGAAAUAAAGCUCCAAGUCUUCGUCCUGUUAAAGCCCUUUCUUCAUGGCUUGCUCAUUAUCUACCAAACCAUCAUUUUAAAAAAACCCAGAAACACACUAGUUAAUUCCAAGAGGCCUUCCUUUCCCUCCCUUAGGAAAGAGUUGAUAAACCCUUCUCCUUCGGGCUCACUUCCCCUUGCUUUCAUACUCUCAUCCUGUCAGCCAGGGAACCAGUCUGGACCUGUUAACCCUUUCUAUGCUUGCAGGGCCUUUAUACUGCUACAGAGCACAAUCUUUCUCACUCCUCUGAACCCAGGAGCUGUGUCUGUGACCAGCUCUUAUUCAGGUUGUGCAAGAAGCAGAGGGAAUUGUUAUUCUUUCACCCCACCUCCUGCAUUGCCAUGUAAGGGCUAGCUACAAUCUAGCCCUCUGAGAUUCAGAGAUGAAAGAUACUGCAAAAAUAGAAAAGAUUUUAUUAUGAAGAGGGAAGAGCCAGGGGCAUUAGUAUAAACUAGGAAUAAUGACAUGUUUUUAGAGCAUGUUAUCAUAUAAAAUUCAAUGUACCGCAUCAAAUCAUCUCCCCUAGGCUCUGUACAUCUUAUUAGUAGAGCAGGUUACAAGCGAGACUGCAGAAGCAGUAUUAUUAUAGCAUUGCCCCAUAGCACUAUGUUAAUUAAAGAGCCUUUUGGUGUUUCUAUAUAAGCAUCCACAUUGAGAUUUUAUAAUCCUGGUAAAAUUCACUUUAUUGUCAAUGGGCACUUAUGGUCCCAGGCUGGCAGCAUUUAUGUCACUCAGCUCUUGGGUUUAAGAAGAAUUUUAAAAAUUCACCCCUAUGUUUUCUGUUUUUAAAACACUGGUUUAAAGCUUUCAGCGCUUCAGGAGGCCCAAGGGUUCUGAGAAUUGACGGACCUUUCAAGUGGGAGCUCUUCACAUCUUGAGUUUAAAAUACACACAAAACAGCUAAGAGAGUUGUUUGAAAAUGGCUCCAGUGAAAGGAAUCCAACAGGUCUUGCUUUGUUUGUUACUGCUUCAGAGUUAAAAAAUGCCUUUGCUGAUAAGGGGUCAGUUCCUAACAGAUGCUGAGGAUCUGUAGCUUCCACUCAUUUUAAAUGGAUUAGAGUGAUAUUCCUGGGGCCCUAAAGGGCUACUUUAUCCCAGCGCAAAGCAGCCAGUAAAUAGUAACCUAGAAUCGGGCUCAUUGAGGGUAUGUCUACACUGCAGCAUUAUUUCGGAAUAACACAGCAAGCCAAUCUUUCGAAAUAAUGAUGAACUGGAGGACUUUCCAUUCUGAGUCCUAUAACCCUCAUUUCACAAGGAAUAAGGGAAGUCGAAGG